rnacentral:sRNA from 1 species
ACACACAGAGAAGGGCGAUUCGCAGAUAGUUCGUUGCCCCACGGGCCACUGGCUCAUACGUACUAGUACUGUGCAACAUGUAUACAGCCGCAGCUUUUCUUCUCUAACUAUGCCUGUGCUCCCUCAACUCACCUGGAACUACCCGAGCAGGCGGAAGUAGGAUCCCUUCAAGACUACCAACUACCAACUACCAUACCCGCUCCGCACUCUCCGGGCCCCAACAAACCCCCCCCUCCAUCGGGGCCUAGUCAAAACUUCGAAGAACGUCAGCUCGAGUCGCGUCACGCAUGCUCCCGAUCUCAGACAAAAAAAACCCCCUACUCCUCAGCGCGAUGCAUGGCUAAACCAGUAUCACCAACACCGCAGAAACGAAGAACGGUAAACUGAACGAGA